AUUGAACGCUGGCGGCAGGCCUAACACAUGCAAGUCGAGCGAGCGGCGGACGGGUGAGUAAUGUAUGGGGACUGCCCGAUAGAGGGGGAUAACUACUGGAAACGGUAGCUAAUACCGCAUACUAUCGGAUAACCCAUAUGGGAUUAGCUAGUAGGUGAGGUAAUGGUUCACCUAGGCGACGAUCCCUAGCUGGUCUGAGAGGAUGAUCAGCCUCACCAGGGCUGUGACACGACCCAGACUGCUACGGAGGCAGCAGUGGUGAAUAUUGCACAUUGGGCGAAAGCCAGAUGCAGCCAUGCCGCGUGUAUGAAGAAGUCCCUAGGGUUGUAAAGUACUUUCAGUCGGGAGGCGUUACCGACAGAAGAAGCACCGGCUAACACCGUGCCAGCAGCCGCGGUAAUUC
rnacentral:rRNA from 1 species